AGAGCCUUCCAUGGUGCUCGCUGCGCUAAAAUGGGAACCACACAGAGAAGGUUAGCGUGGCCCCUGUGCAAGGCUGACACGUGAACUCGUGAAGCGUUUUGUAUUUUU